rnacentral:rRNA from 1 species
UACGUAGGGUCCGAGCGUUGUCCGGAUUUAUUGGGCGUAAAGAGCUCGUAGGCGGUUCCGUAAGUCGGAUGUGAAAACUCGGGGCUCAACCCCGAGACGCCAUCCGAUACUGCGGUGACUUGAGUCUGGUAGGGGAACACGGAAUUCCUGGUGUAGCGGUGAAAUGCGCAGAUAUCAGGAGGAACACCGAUGGCGAAGGCAGUGUUCUGGGCCAGUACUGACGCUGAGGAACGAAAGCGUGGGGAGCGAACAGG